rnacentral:rRNA from 1 species
UACGGGGGGGGCAAGCGUUGUUCGGAAUUACUGGGCGUAAAGCGUGCGUAGGUGGUGAGUUAAGUCUGUCGUGAAAGCCCCGGGCUCAACCUGGGAAUGGCGAUGGAUACUGGCUCGCUAGAGUGCGGUAGAGGAGAGUGGAAUUCCCGGUGUAGCAGUGAAAUGCGUAGAGAUCGGGAGGAACAUCAGUUGCGAAGGCGGCUCUCUGGGCCUUACCUGACGCUGAGACGCGAAAGCGUGGGGAGCGAACCGG